UUCAUUUAUACUUGUAGAAUUGUCUAUAUAGUUAUAAAUGUUUACUAUGCUUUGCUGUUUUAUAUUAUAUAGUGUGUUGAUUGUUAUUGGUUAUUUGUGCUAUUUUUGUUGUAUGUUAUUUGUAUGUUUUGUUUAAAGCAGGCUGCAAAGAAGCAUGCAAUAAUAAUAUUACAAAGAUACAAUAAUAUAUCACCAUAAGCACACUAUUAUAAUAUAAGUAAAAUCUAUUUUCCUCCCUAUUGUUUAUGAAAGUUUCUCUAAGGAGAAUGAUUAGUGCAUGAUUAAGGGUAGGAUAUCUGUUUGCCAUAUUUGUCUAUCAUUGUAUAUAUUAAUUUGAUUGUUACAAUCUUAUUCGUAUAUCGAAUGAGAGUAACAGAUUGAUAGAUUGACUGAAUAUGCAUUCUAGAUAAUUGAAAAAAAAACUACC
rnacentral:rRNA from 1 species